AGUGAACGCUGGCGGUAGGCCUAACACAUGCAAGUCGAACGGCAGCACAGUAAGAGCUUGCUCUUACGGGUGGCGAGUGGCGGACGGGUGAGGAAUACAUCGGAAUCUACUUUUUCGUGGGGGAUAACGUAGGGAAACUUACGCUAAUACCGCAUACGACCUACGGGUGAAAGCAGGGGAUCUUCGUACCUUGCGCGAUUGAAUGAGCCGAUGUCGGAUUAGCUAGUUGGCGGGGUAAAGGCCCACCAAGGCGACGAUCCGUAGCUGGUCUGAGAGGAUGAUCAGCCACACUGGAACUGAGACACGGUCCAGACUCCUACGGGAGGCAGCAGUGGGGAAUAUUGGACAAUGGGCGCAAGCCUGAUCCAGCCAUACCGCGUGGGUGAAGAAGGCCUUCGGGUUGUAAAGACCUUUUGUUGGGAAAGAAAAGCAGCAGGUUAAUACCCCGCUGUUCUGACGGUACCCAAAGAAUAAGCACCGGCUAACUUCGUG
rnacentral:rRNA from 1 species